UACGAAGGGACCUAACUCACCUCGGAAUUACUGACCUUAAAGAACUCGUAAGUGCUUCUUAAAGUUGAUGGAUGAAAUCCCAUAGGCUCAACACUUGAAACUGCCAUCAUAACUUUUUAUCUACAUUAUGAUAUAGGACAGCGUAAUUUCUACCGUAUAGGUGAAAUUCGAUACAUAUUAUGAAAGAACACCUGAAGCGAAGGCAGCUUUCUGGAUCUUUACUGACUCUGAGGAACGAAACCUUGUAUAGCGAAUAGGAUUACAUACCCUCGUAGUCCAUGCCGUAAACGAUGUGUGCUACACGUUGUCAAACUUACUUUUCAUUGUCACAGCGCAAGGCAUUACUGACACCGCCUGCCGAGUACGACCGUCAUCUUACAACUCAAAUGAAUUGACGUGCGACCCGCACAAGUAGUCGUUAGCAUGUGGUUUACUUCGAAGAUACGCGCAGAACCCUACCAUCACUCGGCAUGUUCGUCGCGAGACCAAGAGAUUGUUUUGUUCACUCAGUUGGCCGAAACACAGGUGAUGCAUGGCUGUCGUCAGCUCGUCUCGUGAGUUGUUGGGUUAAGUAGCGCACCGAGCGCAAGCCUUGCCUUUAGUUGGCAUCCAUUUACUGGGCUCUUAAAGGAAUUGUCUGUGAUAAGUUGGAGGAAGGCGGGGAAGACGUCAAGUCCUCAUGGUUCCUUACGUGUUGGGCUACAUCUCGUGCGUUCAAUGGCGAUAAUUCACACUGGUGAAGUUUAAGUCUGCGUAGUAGCUAAUAAUAAUCCUCAAAAUAGAGUGCUCUCAGAUUCGGACUUGUACUGCUGUAACUACGAGUGCAAGAAGCUCGAAUUCAUAGUAAUCGCGGAUCAGCGCUCCGCGGAGAAUACGCUUCCGGGUUU
rnacentral:rRNA from 1 species